GAUCAUGGCUCAGGAUGAACGCUAGCGGCAGGCCUAAUACAUGCAAGGCGAAGGGGCAGCAAUGUCACUGUCGUACGGGUGCGUAACGCGUAUGCAACCUACCUAUCACAGGGGAAUAGCCUUUGGAAACAGGGAUUAAUACCCCAUGGCACAUAUUGAUGGCAUCUGAGAUAUGUUAAAGAUUUAUUGGUAUAAGAUGGGCAUGCGUCUGAUUAGCUAGUUGGCGGUGUAACGGACCACCAAGGCGACGAUCAGUAGGGGUUCUGAGAGGAAGGUCCCCCACACUGGCACUGAGAUACGGGCCAGACUCCUACGGGAGGCAGCAGUAGGGAAUAUUGGGCAAUGGUCGGAAGACUGACCCAGCCAUGCCGCGUGCAGGAAGACGGCCCUCUGGGUUGUAAACUGCUUUUAUCUGGGAAGAAAAAGGCCAUGCGUGGCAAAUUGCCGGUACCAGAUGAAUAAGCACCGGCUAACUCCGUG
rnacentral:rRNA from 1 species